UACUGCUUGGAUUUUUGUCGGCCUCUUAUUAUUGGAGAAAUUUGUUAUAUAUUUAGCUUUAAAUUUUGAACUUGGAUUUUGGGAUGCUGCUGAUUUGAUCUGUAUUUCCAUAAUUCUUGAUAUAGUAAUUUUAUUUUUUUGUAGUUUGAUUUCUUAAUUGUGAGUGGUGAUUAGUACUUGUAUGUUUAAAUUUUCAGAUAUAUUCAAACAGUCGGUAAAUAAUUUAUGUCUAUGCAGGUAAUGGAUUGAAGAUUGCAAGUCAGAAAGAUUGAAUAAGAUCUACUUAAAAUAAUGUAAUUGAACGUGGUCUAGUUUCGGGAUUUGAAGCUAAUUCGAGCCAAACUACACCAAAGAACCAAUUAACAAGAAGAUCCAAGACAAAUUACCACUUUGCCCCUCAAGAGGAACAAUUCAACACACUUCAGCAAUGCUUGCAGCAUCACAACGCUCCCUACAACAAUGAGUCUGACGCUAGCUUGACACUUAAAGACAGAAUACACCUAUUUGCUGCAAAUAUAGGGCAGAGUUGCAACUCUUCACCCAGUGUCGUAACGCUCUGGAUUUUGACCGAACUUUCCACGCGAGCGCGCGUCUUGCACAACCCAGCAUCACGACUCAAGCCCAACGCUUUUUGGCUUUGUUUUUACGAUUUAGCGUUGCAACGCUAGCCUCAGCAUCGCAAAGCUACACCUACAGAUGUAAAAUCAGUAGUUUCAUUUUCAGCGCAAGAGAGAUAAACUUCAUUUUUCAUUACAAUUUUAGAUUACAAUUGAUGCCUGGAAAACUCAAGUCCAAGUGGCUAGGUCCUUUUGAAAUUACUAAUGUUUUCUUUUAUGGUGCCGUCGAAAUAAAAAGUCUUGAAAUAGGAAAAAUCUUCAAGGUGAACGGACACAAGCUCAAAAUCUACAAUGAAAGGCAUGUAAACCAAGUCCAGUUGAAUUCAUGUUUAGCUAAUUCCUCAUA